rnacentral:rRNA from 1 species
GUAGAGGUGAAAUUCGUAGAUAUUAGAAAGAAUACCAAUUGCGAAGGCAGCUUUCUGGAUCAUUACUGACACUGAGGAACGAAAGCAUGGGUAGCGAAGAGGAUUAGAUACCCUCGUAGUCCAUGCCGUAAACGAUGUGUGUUAGACGUUGGAAAUUUAUUUUCAGUGUCGCAGCGAAAGCGAUAAACACACCGCCUGGGGAGUACGACCGCAAGGUUAAAACUCAAAUGAAUUGACGGGGACCCGCACAAGUAGUGGAGCAUGUGGUUUAAUUCGAAGAUACGCGCAGAACCUUACCAACACUUGACAUGUUCGUCGCGACUUUAAGAGAUUAAAGUUUUCGGUUCGGCCGGACGAAACACAGGUGCUGCAUGGCUGUCGUCAGCUCGUGUCGUGAGAUGUUGGGUUAAGUCCCGCAACGAGCGCAACCCUCACUUUUAGUUGCCAUCAUUAAGUUGGGCACUCUGAAAGAACUGCCAGUGAUAAGCUGGAGGAAGGUGGGGAUGACGUCAAGUCCUCAUGGCCCUUACGUGUUGGGCUACACACGUGCUACAAUGGUAUUUACAAAAGGAAGCAAAACGGCGACGUUUAGCAAAUCCUAAAAAAAUACCUCAGUUCGGAUUGCACUCUGCAACUCGAGUGCAUGAAGCUGGAAUUACUAGUAAUCGUGGAUCAGCGUGCCACGGUGAAUGCGUUCCCGGGUCUUGUACACACCGCCCGUCACACCAUGGGAGUUGGUUCUACCUUAAGGCAAGGUUUCAAACCCUUGACCACGGUAUAGUCAGCGACUGGGGUGAAGUCAUAACAAGGUAACCGUA